rnacentral:ncRNA from 1 species
GUUUGGUCCUGACCUUAAAGUCAAUUCUUACUUAAUUUACACAUGCAAGUCUCCGCACCCCUGUGAAAACGCCCUUAAACCCCUCAAAGGGACAAGGAGCUGGUAUCAGGCACAAACCUUAGCCCAAGACACCUAGCUACGCCACACCCACAAGGGAACUCAGCAGUGAUCAACAUUGAAUAUAAGCGACAGCUUGAUUCAGUUAAAGUAAAUAGAGCCGGCUAAUCUGGUGCCAGCCGCCGCGGUUACACCACGUGGCUCAAAUUGACCUUUUUCGGCGUAAAGCGUGAUUUAAGAGAACUCCCCUUUGGUGUUAAAAAAGUACUGAGCUGUGACACGCUUGUUCUUAAGAAGACCAAAAACGAAAGUUACACCAAUCUAAUCAACUUGAACUCACGACAGUUAGGGUACAAACUGGGAUUAGAUACCCCACUAUGCCUAACCGUAAACUUUCACUUACAAUUUAAUCGCCCGGGAACUACGAGCCAAGCUUAAAACCCAAAGGACUUGACGGUACCCCAUAUCCACCUAGAGGAGCCUGUCCUAUAAUCGAUAAUCCCCGUUUAACCUCACCAUUUUUAGCCUAUCAGCCUGUAUACCUCCGUCGUCAGCUUACCUCGUGAGCGCAACUCAGUGAGCUCAAUGUCCUUACAUCAACACGUCAGGUCAAGGUGCAGUAAAUGAAAUGGGAAGAGAUGGGCUACACUAUCUAACUUAGAUAAAACGAAUGACUAUUUAUGAAACCUAGUCGGAAGGCGGAUUUAGUAGUAAAAAGAGAUAAGAGAGCUCUUUUUAACUCGGCA